GCCGCUAAGGGCCGCGCGCGACGCAGAUACCGCGGCCGAGGCUCGCGGGAGGGAGAGGAGCAGCCCCUGACCUCGCUCAGCUGCCUGGCACGGGCGGUUUGCCGAGACGCAGCGGCAUCUUAACCGCGCUGAAGCUCCUAUCUAUUUUUGGAGGCAUCUGGUUUGGAGGAGGAACUAGAACGAUGAAAGGCAGCUCAUCUCUGAACUGAGGAACAGUUCAGAGAAGACAUAUUUGUGACUGGAAAUGACUAGCUGAGGGGAAGAGCAAGUGAAACCCUCUGUGUUUAUUGUGAAGCAUCUUUGAUGUGGGCCUAUUCAGUUGUGUGAAAAAAAUCACCCAUUAUGUAAUCUGUGCCUGCUACUAUAGAAUUCGUCUCUGUUGAAGAGGCAAUUUAGGUAACCAGCAUUUAUCUCUGGGACAUCUCUAGAUAUAUCGUGCCUUUCAUCUCCAGCUGCUUUACUAACAGGUAAGAUCCAUAAGUGUCAACCAUAAAAGUGGAUCAAAAAGCACAGAGCAAGGUUGUUAAUAGAUGGAUAUACUAAAUGUGAAAAGACUGCUCUGUAUAGAGCAAUCUAGGAUGGAUAAUAGCAAUUGCUAAAUAAUAGAAAGCAACAUCUAUAACUUUAGACUGAGAUAUGACUAAUGCAUUACAGCAUCUGAAUGAUUGUUACUUUGCCCUUCUUUUUCACCUCUCACACAAGAUUCUCAAAAACGUAUGAAUGUUUUUGACUGCUCAUGUGACAGAUGAGUCUUACGCAAUUUUACAGCUGAAAAAGAGGCACAGUGAUUGAAUACUAUGCUAAGGUUACAGUGUGAUUUAUUUGCAGAAUCAGGGUAGUGUACAAAACCAUGACUCCCAACCUAACCCUUAAGUAAUUUCUCCUCACAACACACACAAGUCAAAUCUUCUACCCAGUAGAAAUACCAGGGAAAAUUCUCAAUAGCAGAACAUAAUACAUUAUAUAAAAAUUUGUUAGCACUGAAGAUUUAAAAAGUCUGUUCUCUCAAAAUAAAAUGAUGGUCAGAGAUGCUUAAGUACAA